UACAGAGGUCCCAAGCGUUGUUCGGAUUUACUGGGCGUAAAGGGAGCGUAGGUGGCAGAUUAAGUCUGACGUGAAAGCUCUGAGCUUAACUCAGAAAUGGCGUUAGAUACUAGUUUGCUUGAGGAUUGGAGGGGAGAUUGGAAUUCUCGGUGUAGCAGUGAAAUGCGUAGAUAUCGAGAGGAACACCAGUGGCGAAGGCGAAUCUCUGGACAAUUCCUGACACUGAUGCUCGAAAGCUAGGGGAGCAAACGGG
rnacentral:rRNA from 2 species